UGAAGAAAUGGAUUCCGCUUCGGGAUGGCCUCGCGGCCUAUCAGCUUGUUGGUGAGGUAAUGGCUCACCAAGGCAACGACGGGUAGCUGGUCUGAGAGGAUUUCCAGCCACACUGGGACUGAGACACGGCCCAGACUCCUACGGGAGACAGCAGUUAGGAUUCUUGCGCAAUGGGCGAAAGCCUGACACAGCGACGCCGCGUGCGGGAUGAAGGCCUUCGGGUUGUAAACCGCUUUCAGCAGGGACGAAAUUCACGGUACCUGCAGAAGAAGCCCCGGCCAACUACGUGCCAGCAGCCGCGGUAAUACGUAGGGGGCAAGCGUUGUCCGGAUUUAUCGGGCGUAAAGAGCUCGUAGGUGGUUUGGUAAGUCGGAUGCGAAAUCUCCAGGCUCAACCUGGAAGGGUCAUUCGAUACUGCCAUGACUAGAGGUCGGUAGGGGAGUGUGGAAUUCGUGGUGGAGCGGUGAAAUGCGCAGAUAUCAGGAGGAACACCCGUAGGGAAGGCGGCACUCUGGGCCGAUUC
rnacentral:rRNA from 1 species